rnacentral:lncRNA from 1 species
CUGGGGUUGUGGCUCAGCAGUAGAGCACUCGCAUAGUUCUUGCAAGGCCGCCCUGGGUUCGAUCCUCAGGUACCACAUAAAAAUAAAUAAAACAAAGGUAUUGUAUACAACUAAAAAAUAAAACAUUUUUAAAAAUUCUUAGAAAUUAUUCCAGUUAUAUUAAUGUUAAACCACGACACAAAGAAAAAACCACCUACUCCAAUUCAAAUCAAAUUAAAGCAAGCUUGUAAUUCUGACCCCCUGGGGCUGUCUCUCCCUAAACCUGUGGGAAUAGAAUACAGCUGUGCAGCUCUCUAGGCGUGCAGCUUUAUAGUAUAGAAAGUUGCAAAAAGGGGGGUUGUCUUGAGAACUUAGAGAUAACAGGAUUUUGACAAGCAUAACACAAAGGCAGGUAGUAGGUUAAUGGUCCGGCACUUAGGGAGUAAAAAGUUAGAUCCCAACAUCAGAACUUAUAUGAAGCGCCACUGGAAUUUCAGAGAGGGUCGUUUCAGAGAGGGAAUUUCAGAGAGGCCAGGGAAAGCCAGAAUUUGUGAGGAGCCAUUAAAGUUUCAAAGAGGGUUGUUAUCUGGUCAGGGAAAGUCAGGCAUGGGUGAGUUCAAGGCACCGGCAGGCAUUCCAAGCAAAUUUAGAAAUUGCAGUAAUUUAUAGCAAAGCCGAAAUUAACUUUGCUAUAAAAAGUUAAUUUGUGACGAGAUGGCUCCCAACAUUAACAGGGAAUUAGGCUGGGUUUAUCAAUUAAUACAAUAUAACUCUAAACAUUGCCUACAAAAGGAAAGCUUCCCCCCAAAAAAUCACAAUUAUGAGUUAUGAAACCCUUCUAAAUUACUGUUUUAUAAGUUAAAAGAAAUUAUAAUUCAUUUAGAAAUAAAAGGCACUGAAUAACAUUCAUAGAUGAGAGGUUGUAUAUAGUAUUUCAGCAAAGAAAUGAAAGAAUUAGAUUGUCACUGGUUUUCAGUUUCUACUGUUAUUCUGUUAAUCAUCAAUGUUAGGAUGGCCUUAGGCCUGAGCCUAAGCAACUCCAUUUUAAAAACACCAGUUUGAAACCUGCAGUCUCACCAGGACACCCACAGAGCCCUCUAAUAUGGCCUCAAACCCCAGGCAAGCUGUCCUUGCCUGAUAAGAGGGAAAGGCAAGAAGAUCAUAGUGGAAACCACAGACCAGACCCAGGGUAAAUGAUGUCACUGAGAAAUGACCCCAGGGUAAAUGAUGUCACUGAGAAAUCUGGUGGUAGCUGAUAAGGAUUGAAAGGGGGGGGGGUCAAAAAACCCCCAAAAUUUAGUAUAAUUAAUAGAGCUGAUGAACAGGGAUUCAGCCAGCCAAAAUAAGGAUGCACUCGAGCUGGAGAGCCUGAUGAGGGCCUGACUUCCCAUCACUUGUCAUUGUUCCUGAGCCUCUGCGUGAUCCUCACCACUCUCAAACUCUACCUCCUCAUCUGGACCUUGGUGAGAGCCGCAACUUCUCCCUAUGACCUUUCCUCAACCGGUCAUCCACUCCAAGCCAGGAAAGGCCUGCCUUGGUUCCAGCUCUGGCCACCACAGUCUAAGUGAGUGUGCAUCUGCUGGAUAUAAAGCCUAAGGCUUAAGACUUUUGAAUUUAGCAUACAGAGGAAAUGUCUGUCAUUAGCCUAUCAUGAUUAAGUGUGUUUUGCAGUGCUUAAAAUUAAUCCAGAAUUGUUUGCUGUGAAUUGAUUAAUCUAGAAUUGUUUGCUGUGAAUUGAUUAUGUCUAUUGCAGUGCCUAGCAUUAAGGAUUGUCGUUUUCUUGAUUAAGAACCUAUAGAGUGAAAUUGUAUGGAGUAAUUUGUGUGAAUAAAGCAUUGAAAGGGGCAGAAGCGCAUGGACAUUCUUUAUUUCUCCCCUUGACUGCAAUUUUGCCUCCUGGAGACAAUCAACAAACACUGAUAUUGAUUGCAAAGAGAAUUCCCUGCCUUCUACUAGAAGGACCAGACAAGCUGUGAAAUAGUUCCGACUUUGCACACCCUCCAACAGAGAGAACCUGGAUCUAAUCGAACCUUUGGAACUGUCUACCAACUUCAGGAAGUGGAGAGAAUGGAAGACUGCAUGAACUGACAGUGAAAGAUCCGGAGGAGCAAAAUACAGAGGUUUUUUUCCAUUAUGC